UGGUCAGUGACACCUAAACUUGUCUUGAAGAGUGAUGAUGACACAAAAAUCCUGCUCAGUAUGAUUAUGCUGAUGCCC
rnacentral:snoRNA from 1 species